rnacentral:rRNA from 1 species
UACGUAGGGGGCUAGCGUUGUCCGGAUUCAUUGGGCGUAAAGCGCGUGUAGGCGGCCAGGUAGGUCCGUUGUGAAAACCCGAGGCUUAACCUCGGGACGCCCGACGGAAACCAUCUGGCUAGGGUCCGGAAGAGGAGAGUGGAAUUCCCGGUGUAGCGGUGAAAUGACGCAGAUAUACGGGAAGAACGACCCGUGGCGCAAGGCGGGCUACUCUGGGACGGUACCGACGGCUGAGACGCGAAAGCGUGGGGAGCGAACAGGG